rnacentral:rRNA from 1 species
UACGUAGGGGGCAAGCGUUGUCCGGAUUUAUUGGGCGUAAAAGGCUUGUAGGUGGCCACGCCAAGUCGGAUGUGAAAUCUCCCGGCUCAACUGGGAGGGGUCAUUCGAUAGUGGCGGGCUCGAGGCCGGUAGGGGGAAGUGGAAUUCCCGGUGUAGUGGUGGAAUGCGUAGAUAUCGGGAGGAACACCAGUGGCGAAGGCGGCUUCCUGGACCGGUUCUGACACUGAGGAGCGAAAGCGUGGGGAGCGAUCCGG